rnacentral:rRNA from 1 species
AUACGGAGGAUGCAAGCGUUAUCCGGAUUUAUUGGGCGUAAAGGGUGCGUAGGCGGCCUUGUAAGUCAGAUGUGAAAGAUCAUGGCUUAACUGUGGUAAGCAUUUGAAACUGCAGGGCUUGAGUACAGGAGAGGAGAGAGGAAUUCCUAGUGUAGCGGUGAAAUGCGUAGAUAUUAGGAGGAAUACCAGUGGCGAAGGCGACUCUCUGGACUGAUACUGACGCUGAGGCACGAAAGCGUGGGGAGCAAACAGGAUUAGAUACCCUGGUAGUCCACGCUAUAAACGAUGAGUGCUAGGUGUCGGGGGUCAAACCUCGGUGCCGCAGUUAACACAUUAAGCACUCCGCCUGGGGAGUACGGCCGCAAGGCUGAAACUCAAAGGAAUUGGCGGGG